UACAGAGGUCCCGAGCGUUGUUCGGAUUCACUGGGCGUAAAGGGUGCGUAGGCGGCUGGGAAAGUUUGAUGUGAAAGCUCAGGGCUUAACCCUGAAAUGGCAUUGAAUACUGCCUGGCUGGAGGUUUGGAGGGGGGACUGGAAUUCUUGGUGUAGCAGUGAAAUGCGUAGAUAUCAAGAGGAACACCAGUGGCGAAGGCGAGUCCCUGGACAACACCUGACACUGAGGCACGAAAGCCGGGGGAGCAAACAGG
rnacentral:rRNA from 1 species